ACAAUGGUCAUUUGUGAAGGAGAGGACACUUGAGAGCUCGGUGUCUCUAUAACAGGAGGCAAAACCAUGUUCACCAAUAAGGUUUCAACCCUUUAUUUAGUGAAAUGAAGUGUUAGGGAACACAGAGGGGGUUUUUAAGAGCUUACACGUCCAUCAGAACCAGAGCCACGGUGUGAGAAGAGAACCACAAGACAUUUCCUCAAAUACCUGUGGCUUUGUAUGAAGGAAUCAAAGACCAGGAACACAAGCAAUUUGGUUACAAAGAAUUACACAGAAGUGAAAUGAGAACGGAAGCAAUUUCUUCUGAACCCUAGAACCACGGGGCAGCAUUACCAUGAAGUGACCUUAGAAUCAGGCUUCAAGAAUGACCACAGAAAUGAUAAUUCCAAAGAAAAAAGUAAACAGUUAGAUUACCAAUACAAAAAUUAAUAAAUGGAAUAGCAUUAAGCAAUGCCAGAUUUCAGUGGCGAAACAGAUUCAGAAUGUAUACACUGUGUUGUGCUCUGACCACUAAACAACAUACAGCUUCCAGAAACCACAG